rnacentral:rRNA from 1 species
CACUGGAAUAACAGUUGGAAACAGCUGCUAAUGCCGGAUACGACCUUCGGUGGCAUCACCUGGAGGUGGAAAGUGCUUAGCGGUCAAGGAUGGGCUCGCGGCCUAUCAGCUAGUUGGUGAGGUAACGGCUCACCAAGGGCUUCGCACGGGUAGCCGGGCCUGA